UACGUAGGGUGCGAGCGUUUGUCCGGAAUUAUUGGGCGUAAAGGGCUCGUAGGCGGUUUUGUCGCGUCGGGAGUGAAAAACUCAGGGCUUAACCCCUGAGCCUGCUUCCGAUACGGGGCAGACUAGAGGUAUGCAGGGGAGAACGGAAUUCCUGGUGUAGCGGUGAAAUGCGCAGAUAUCAGGAGGAACACCGGUGGCGAAGGCGGAUUCUCUGGGGCCAAUUACCUUGACGGUGAGGAAAGCGGGAAAGUGUGGGGAAG
rnacentral:rRNA from 1 species